rnacentral:misc_RNA from 1 species
GUUCAGGAAAAUGGUGAUGGAAAUUAUCAGGAACAAGAGAGUGAAUUUCUGGAAGAAGUUUUACGUGAUCUACAGCUUUUUCUUCGUUAGGAAGAUCAUAGCUCACAUGGUUACGUUUUUCUUCUUUUGCGUCGUUCUUCCAUUGACACUUUUGGUUCCUGAAGUUGAAGUUCCAAUAUGGGCUGCCAUUUACAUUCCUUGCAUCAUCACUA